rnacentral:rRNA from 1 species
GGGUUGUGAGGUUAAGCGACUAAGCGUACACGGUGGAUGCCCUGGCAGUCAGAGGCGAUGAAGGGCGUGCUAAUCUGCGAUAAGCGCCGGUAAGGUGAUAUGAACCGUUAUAACCGGCGAUACCCGAAUGGGGAAACCCAGUGUGAUUCGUCACACUAUCAUUAACUGAAUCCAUAGGUUAAUGAGGCGAACCGGGGGAACUGAAACAUCUAAGUACCCCGAGGAAAAGAAAUCAACCGAGAUUCCCCCAGUAGCGGCGAGCGAACGGGGAGGAGCCCAGAGCCUGAAUCAGCAUGUGUGUUAGUGGAAGCGUCUGGAAAGGCGCGCGAUACAGGGUGACAGCCCCGUACACAAAAGCGCAUGUGCUGUGAGCUCGAUGAGUAGGGCGGGACACGUGGUAUCCUGUCUGAAUAUGGGGGGACCAUCCUCCAAGGCUAAAUACUCCUGACUGACCGAUAGUGAACCAGUACCGUGAGGGAAAGGCGAAAAGAACCCCGGCGAGGGGAGUGAAAAAGAACCUGAAACCGUGUACGUACAAGCAGUGGGAGCNNNNNNNNNNNNNNNNNNNNNNNNNNNNNNNNNNNNNNGGGCGUUAAGUUGCAGGGUAUAGACCCGAAACCCGGUGAUCUAGCCAUGGGCAGGUUGAAGGUUGGGUAACACUAACUGGAGGACCGAACCGACUAAUGUUGAAAAAUUAGCGGAUGACCUGUGGCUGGGGGUGAAAGGCCAAUCAAACCGGGAGAUAGCUGGUUCUCCCCGAAAGCUAUUUAGGUAGCGCCUCGUGAAUUCAUCUCCGGGGGUAGAGCACUGUUUCGGCUAGGGGGCCAUCCCGGCUUACCAACCCGAUGCAAACUGCGAAUACCGGAGAAUGUUAUCACGGGAGACACACGGCGGGUGCUAACGUCCGUCGUGAAGAGGGAAACAACCCAGACCGCCAGCUAAGGUCCCAAAGUCAUGGUUAAGUGGGAAACGAUGUGGGAAGGCCCAGACAGCCAGGAUGUUGGCUUAGAAGCAGCCAUCAUUUAAAGAAAGCGUAAUAGCUCACUGGUCGAGUCGGCCUGCGCGGAAGAUGUAACGGGGCUAAACCAUGCACCGAAGCUGCGGCAGCGACACUGUGUGUUGUUGGGUAGGGGAGCGUUCUGUAAGCCUGCGAAGGUGGCCUGUGAGGGUUGCUGGAGGUAUCAGAAGUGCGAAUGCUGACAUAAGUAACGAUAAAGCGGGUGAAAAGCCCGCUCGCCGGAAGACCAAGGGUUCCUGUCCAACGUUAAUCGGGGCAGGGUGAGUCGACCCCUAAGGCGAGGCCGAAAGGCGUAGUCGAUGGGAAACGGGUUAAUAUUCCCGUACUUGGUGUUACUGCGAAGGGGGGACGGAGAAGGCUAUGUUGGCCGGGCGACGGUUGUCCCGGUUUAAGCGUGUAGGUGUGUGUUCCAGGUAAAUCCGGUUCACUUUAACACUGAGGCGUGACGACGAGGCACUACGGUGCUGAAGCAACAAAUGCCCUGCUUCCAGGAAAAGCCUCUAAGCAUCAGGUAACAUCAAAUCGUACCCCAAACCGACACAGGUGGUCAGGUAGAGAAUACCAAGGCGCUUGAGAGAACUCGGGUGAAGGAACUAGGCAAAAUGGUGCCGUAACUUCGGGAGAAGGCACGCUGACACGUAGGUGAAGUGAUUUACUCAUGGAGCUGAAGUCAGUCGAAGAUACCAGCUGGCUGCAACUGUUUAUUAAAAACACAGCACUGUGCAAACACGAAAGUGGACGUAUACGGUGUGACGCCUGCCCGGUGCCGGAAGGUUAAUUGAUGGGGUCAGCGCAAGCGAAGCUCCUGAUCGAAGCCCCGGUAAACGGCGGCCGUAACUAUAACGGUCCUAAGGUAGCGAAAUUCCUUGUCGGGUAAGUUCCGACCUGCACGAAUGGCGUAAUGAUGGCCAGGCUGUCUCCACCCGAGACUCAGUGAAAUUGAACUCGCUGUGAAGAUGCAGUGUACCCGCGGCAAGACGGAAAGACCCCGUGAACCUUUACUAUAGCUUGACACUGAACAUUGAGCCUUGAUGUGUAGGAUAGGUGGGAGGCUUUGAAGUGUGGACGCCAGUCUGCAUGGAGCCGACCUUGAAAUACCACCCUUUAAUGUUUGAUGUUCUAACGUGGACCCGUUACCCGGGUUGCGGACAGUGUCUGGUGGGUAGUUUGACUGGGGCGGUCUCCUCCUAAAGAGUAACGGAGGAGCACGAAGGUUGGCUAAUCCUGGUCGGACAUCAGGAGGUUAGUGCAAUGGCAUAAGCCAGCUUGACUGCGAGCGUGACGGCGCGAGCAGGUGCGAAAGCAGGUCAUAGUGAUCCGGUGGUUCUGAAUGGAAGGGCCAUCGCUCAACGGAUAAAAGGUACUCCGGGGAUAACAGGCUGAUACCGCCCAAGAGUUCAUAUCGACGGCGGUGUUUGGCACCUCGAUGUCGGCUCAUCACAUCCUGGGGCUGAAGUAGGUCCCAAGGGUAUGGCUGUUCGCCAUUUAAAGUGGUACGCGAGCUGGGUUUAGAACGUCGUGAGACAGUUCGGUCCCUAUCUGCCGUGGGCGCUGGAGAACUGAGGGGGGCUGCUCCUAGUACGAGAGGACCGGAGUGGACGCAUCACUGGUGUUCGGGUUGUCAUGCCAAUGGCACUGCCCGGUAGCUAAAUGCGGAAGAGAUAAGUGCUGAAAGCAUCUAAGCACGAAACUUGCCCCGAGAUGAGUUCUCCCUGAGACUUAGAGUCUCCUGAAGGAACGUUGAAGACGACGACGUUGAUAGGCCGGGUGUGUAAGCGCAGCGAUGCGUUGAGCUAACCGGUACUAAUGAACCGUGAGGCUUAACCUUACAACGCCGAAG